rnacentral:lncRNA from 1 species
CCAUGACCCACAGCUUCUAAUAGAACUAUAACACUCACUGCAUGGCCCAAGAUUCCAUUCCUUGGAAUCCCUGAGGCCAAGAACCCCAGGUCAGAGAACACAACACUUGCCACCAUCUUGGAAGUGGCCCGCCACCAUCUUGGAAGCAGCCACCACCAUCUUGGGAGCUCUGGGAGCAAGGACCCCCUGGUAACAGCAUGAGCUCAAAAAUGAGCAUCACACAGUCCAGAAGUAAACUGGCAAAAGUAUGUGAGGAAAUUCAACAAUACUUUACCAAGGAGAAGAGAGGAAGAUGUGGUCACAUGGAGUAGGUCAGAAGGUUAGAAAGGUUGACCUGUGGGCAGAUUCCUCCACAGAGAGAGACAUAAGGUUAGAGGAUCAGUCCACAUAACGAAAGCCA